GACGAACGCUGGCGGCGUGCCUAAUACAUGCAAGUCGAACGCACUCUCGUUUAGAUUGAAGGAGCUUGCUCCUGAUUGAUAAACAUUUGAGUGAGUGGCGGACGGGUGAGUAACACGUGGGUAACCUGCCCUAAAGUGGGGGAUAACAUUUGGAAACAGAUGCUAAUACCGCAUAAAACCUAAACACCGCAUGGUGUAGGGUUGAAAGAUGGUUUCGGCUAUCACUUUAGGAUGGACCCGCGGUGCAUUAGUUAGUUGGUGAGGUAAAGGUUCACCAAGACCGUGAUGCAUAGCCGACCUGAGAGGGUAAUCGGCCACACUGGGACUGAGACACGGCCCAGACUCCUACGGGAGGCAGCAGUAGGGAAUCUUCCACAAUGGACGAAAGUCUGAUGGAGCAACGCCGCGUGAGUGAAGAAGGUUUUCGGAUCGUAAAACUCUGUUGUUGGAGAAGAAUGUAUCUGAUAGUAACUGAUCAGGUAGUGACGGUAUCCAACCAGAACG
rnacentral:rRNA from 1 species